UUACAGCCAUAUCACAUUGAAACACUGGUUCUUGUAUGAUCAUCAAAGUUAAGUAAUGUUGAGCCUAGUCAGUACCUAGAUGGGUGACCACUUGGAAAAAUACCAGGGGCUGUAA